CCUACGGGAGGCAGCAGUGAGGAAUAUUGGUCAAUGGCCGCGAGCCUGAACCAGCCAAGUAGCGUGAAGGAUGACUGCCCUACGGGUUGUAAACUUCUUUUAUACAGGAAUAAAGUUAGGCACGUGUGCCUUUUUGCAUGUACUUCAUGAAUAAGGACCGGCUAAUUCCGUGCCAGCAGCCGCGGUAAUACGGAGGAUCCGAGCGUUAUCCGGAUUUAUUGGGUUUAAAGGGAGCGUAGAUGGGUCGUUAAGUCAGUUGUGAAAGUUUGCGGCUCAACCGUAAGAUUGCAAUUGAUACUGGCAGUCUUGAGUACAGUUGAGGUAGGCGGAAUUCGUGGUGUAGCGGUGAAAUGCUUAGAUAUCACGAAGAACUCCGAUUGCGAAGGCAGCUUACUAAACUGCCACUGACAUUGAUGCUCGAAAGUGUGGGUAUCAAACAGGAUUAGAUACCCGGGUAGUC
rnacentral:rRNA from 1 species